GACGAACGCUGGCGGCGUGCUUAACACAUGCAAGUCGAGCGGUAAGGCCCUUUCGGGGGUACACGAGCGGCGAACGGGUGAGUAACACGUGGGUGACCUGCCCUCAGCUCUGGGAUAAGCCUGGGAAACUGGGUCUAAUACUGGAUAUGACUCCACGGUGCAUGUCGUGGGGUGGAAAGCCUUGUGCGGCUGAGGAUGGGCCCGCGGCCUAUCAGCUUGUUGGUGGGGUGAUGGCCUACCAAGGCGACGACGGGUAGCCGGCCUGAGAGGGCGACCGGCCACACUGGGACUGAGACACGGCCCAGACUCCUACGGGAGGCAGCAGUGGGGAAUCUUGCGCAAUGGGCGAAAGCCUGACGCAGCGACGCCGCGUGAGGGAUGACGGCCUCGGU
rnacentral:rRNA from 1 species